rnacentral:rRNA from 1 species
GAUGAACGCUAGCGAUAGGCUUAACACAUGCAAGUCGAGGGGCAGCAUGGUCUUAGCUUGCUAAGACUGAUGGCGACCGGCGCACGGGUGCGUAACGCGUAUGCAACUUGCCUCACAGAGGGGGAUAACCCGUCGAAAGACGGACUAAUACCGCGUACACUCCAUCUUGGGCAUCCAAGGCGGAGGAAAUGAAAUUCGCUGUGAGAUAGGCAUGCGUCCCAUUAGCUAGUUGGUGAGGUAACGGCUCACCAAGGCGACGAUGGGUAGGGGAACUGAGAGGUUGAACCCCCACACUGGUACUGAGACACGGACCAGACUCCUACGGGAGGCAGCAGUGAGGAAUAUUGGUCAAUGGGCGAGAGCCUGAACCAGCCAAGUCGCGUGAAGGAUGACUGUCUUAUGGAUUGUAAACUUCUUUUAUACGGGAAUAACAAGAGUUCUCGUGUGACU